rnacentral:lncRNA from 1 species
GGGAUCUCACUGUACCUGCGCUGACACGCUGGCUGCCGGUGUUGUUGUCGAGGGAGAGUCUUCAUGGACCUAAAAUCAAGAGGGAC